rnacentral:rRNA from 1 species
GCUAUACAUGCAAGUCGAGCGGACAGAUGGGAGCUUGCUCCCUGAUGUUAGCGGCGGACGGGUGAGUAACACGUGGGUAACCUGCCUGUAAGACUGGGAUAACUCCGGGAAACCGGGGCUAAUACCGGAUGCUUGAUUGAACCGCAUGGUUCAAUUAUAAAAGGUGGCUUUUAGCUACCACUUACAGAUGGACCCGCGGCGCAUUAGCUAGUUGGUGAGGUAACGGCUCACCAAGGCAACGAUGCGUAGCCGACCUGAGAGGGUGAUCGGCCACACUGGGACUGAGACACGGCCCAAACUCCUACGGGAGGCAGCAGUAGGGAAUCUUCCGCAAUGGACGAAAGUCUGACGGAGCAACGCCGCGUGAGUGAUGAAGGUUUUCGGAUCGUAAAACUCUGUUGUUAGGGAAGAACAAGUACCGUUCGAAUAGGGCGGUACCUUGACGGUACCUAACCAGAAAGCCACGGCUAACUACGUGCCAGCAGCCGCGGUAAUACGUAGGUGGCAAGCGUUGUCCGGAAUUAUUGGGCGUAAAGCGCGCGCAGGCGGUUUCUUAAGUCUGAUGUGAAAGCCCCCGGCUCAACCGGGGAGGGUCAUUGGAAACUGGGGAACUUGAGUGCAGAAGAGGAGAGUGGAAUUCCACGUGUAGCGGUGAAAUGCGUAGAGAUGUGGAGGAACACCAGUGGCGAAGGCGACUCUCUGGUCUGUAACUGACGCUGAGGCGCGAAAGCGUGGGGAGCGAACAGGAUUAGAUACCCUGGUAGUCCACGCCGUAAACGAUGAGUGCUAAGUGUUAGAGGGUUUCCGCCCUUUAGUGCUGCAGCAAACGCAUUAAGCACUCCGCCUGGGGAGUACGGUCGCAAGACUGAAACUCAAGGGAAUUGACGGGGGCCCGCACAAGCGGUGGAGCAUGUGGUUUAAUUCGAAGCAACGCGAAGAACCUUACCAGGUCUUGACAUCCUCUGACAACC